rnacentral:rRNA from 1 species
GACCCCGUGAACCUUUACUAUAGCUUGACACUGAACAUUGAGCCUUGAUGUGUAGGAUAGGUGGGAGGCUUUGAAGCGUGGACGCCAGUCUGCGUGGAGCCAACCUUGAAAUACCACCCUUUAAUGUUUGAUGUUCUAACGUUGGCCCCUGACCGGGGUUGCGGACAGUGUCUGGUGGGUAGUUUGACUGGGGCGGUCUCCUCCCAAAGCGUAACGGAGGAGCACGAAGGUUAGCUAAUCCUGGUCGGACAUCAGGAGGUUAGUGCAAUGGCAUAAGCUAGCUUGACUGCGAGCGUGACGG